rnacentral:rRNA from 1 species
AUGGCUCGCAUGGAUGUCGUGCUGACGGCGACCGCCCAGCAAAAGAGCGAGGCGGCUGUGGCGCGUGGUGCGCGCCGUGCUCUGCAUGCUGCCGCGUGGCCUGCUACCGUCCGGUGCAAGCUGGCCAUGGACCUCGGCCUCCUCCGCCGCUGCAAGAAAGCCGGCAAGGCCCUCGGCGGCCUUUCUUCGGCGGGGUCGUCGUCCUUCUCGUGCCAUGCACUCGACCCGGCCCUCGCGGUGCACGAGCCCUCGCGCGACCGCCGCGAGGUCGAGUUCAGCUGCAACAACACCCCUUUCUCCGCCACCGCCGCCAGGAGCCGCUACCACCGUGGCGACGAGGACCCCGGGAACUAG